UACGAAAGGUGCUAGCGUUGUUCGGAAUUACUGGGCGUAAAGCGCACGUAGGCGGCCUUGUAAGAUGGGGGUGAAAUCCCCGGGCUCAACCCGGGAACUGCCUUCAUGACUGCAAAGCUAGAGGAUGAGAGAGGUUAGCGGAAUUCCGAGUGUAGAGGUGAAAUUCGUAGAUAUUAGGAAGAACACCAGUGGCGAAGGCGGCUAACUGGCGCGGUUCUGACGCUGAGGCGCGAAAGCGUGGGGAGCAAACAGG
rnacentral:rRNA from 1 species